UCUGUAAGAGCUGGGAUCUUGUGGGGAGGUCAUACAUUGCCUCCAACGUUGCAUUCUUGAUAGGCUGUUCAUGGUGAGCAGCAAAGACCAUGCCAUAAGCCGCCGCUGCCAGGACCAUGAAGGUAUCAUCCCUGCAAAAUUCAACAUAUAUGGAAAUACUAAGGGAAGGUUUGAGGGAUUCAUGCAUGAAUUUUUAACCCAAUUAUUGAAGUCAUAUUCUGCAAUCUUGUAAUUCAUUCGGAGCUUAAAGGAGAAGAAAGCAAAGAAACAUAUACCGAAUAUCAUCUUUGGAUCCAAAUCCUUCUAUUGUUACUCAAAUUAAAUCUAACAAAAAAUCAUCUGAAGAUCUAGAACCACGCUUAGGCAUAAGCAAAAUCAGUAUAACAUCAAACGAUAAUCUAUGAAAAUUAAAGUACUAGAGGAAUACCCCUGCAAUCAUGAACAAGGGGUGGCAUGCUUACUUUGAUGCUAAAAGUAGCUCAAAUAUCACUCUGAUCAGCUCAAAUGCAUGCUUCACUUGAAGAAGGCUGCGUGAAUGACCUCUACCAUAUCCUUGAUAUGUAAGGCAUUUGAAAUGGAUAAUAUGAAGCAUACUCCUACUAUUCAGAGAAUUGCAGUAAUUGCAUUAUGAAUGGAUAUAUGAUAUAUGAGCAUUCAUUGUAUGGUGUUCAGCUGUAGAGAAAGAGGGAGAGAGAGAGAGAGACCUUGGCCCUGUACUAGUCUGCUUCAAACUUGUGCUCAAUCCCUGGCGUCAACCUGAACCAGAUAUAAUAAAUCAUUAGGGCGACUGCAGCCUUCCCACUCGUAUCGGGGCCAACACGGUCCCCUAGGGAGAAGGAGCGAUCUUCCCCUCGAGAAACUAUUAGGUGGACUAGGUCCACCUCCAUCCCCUCCGGCGGAACAAGGAUAGAUGGGCACAGGCAGCAGCAUGCUUGGCAGAAGGUAGGAAGACUCAGUACGUAAUGGCCAUCUACCCUCAUACCAACCAUUCUUCAAUGUUCCAUUUCUUCGUGAAGGCAUUCUAGGCAACCACCCUUUCCCACCCUAGGUCCACGGUGGAUCUAGUCCAACUAAUAACGUGUAAAGUUAAGCGCAGCACCCAUGGUGAAUGGUACGAAGAAUAAAGAGAGAAAGAGCCGGAGAUAAUUGGCACCGAGAUUUUACGUGGUCAGCAGUGUGCCGACAUCCACGUGAGCGAAAUGGCUGUGCUUUUC
rnacentral:lncRNA from 1 species